rnacentral:rRNA from 1 species
CGGACGGGUGAGUAAUGCUUGGGAAUCUGGCUUAUGGAGGGGGAUAACUACGGGAAACUGUAGCUAAUACCGCGUAAUAUCUUCGGAUUAAAGGGUGGGACUUUCGGGCCACCUGCCAUAAGAUGAGCCCAAGUGGGAUUAGGUAGUUGGUGGGGUAAAGGCCUACCAAGCCGACGAUCUCUAGCUGGUCUGAGAGGAUGACCAGCCACACUGGAACUGAGACACGGUCCAGACUCCUACGGGAGGCAGCAGUGGGGAAUAUUGCACAAUGGGGGGAACCCUGAUGCAGCCAUGCCGCGUGAAUGAAGAAGGCCUUCGGGUUGUAAAGUUCUUUCGGUGAUGAGGAAGGUGUUUGUUUUAAUAGAACAAGCAAUUGACGUUAGUCACAGAAGAAGCACCGGCUAACUCCGUGCCAGCAGCCGCGGUAAUACGGAGGGUGCGAGCGUUAAUCGGAAUGACUGGGCGUAAAGGGCACGCAGGCGGUGACUUAAGUGAGAUGUGAAAGCCCCGGGCUUAACCUGGGAAUUGCAUCUCAUACUGGGUCGCUAGAGUAUUUUAGGGAGGGGUAGAAUUCCACGUGUAGCGGUGAAAUGCGUAGAGAUGUGGAGGAAUACCGAAGGCGAAGGCAGCCCCUUGGGAAUAUACUGACGCUCAUGUGCGAAAGCGUGGGGAGCAAACAGGAUUAGAUACCCUGGUAGUCCACGCUGUAAACGCUGUCGAUUUGGGGAUUGGGCUUUAAGCUUGGUGCCCGUAGCUAACGUGAU